AUGGGGCUGGGCUUCUUGAUUGGCAUCAAUCCUGCCAAGGCAGAAGAAUUAAUCUGGCUAGAUCCUCCGUGCAGGAUGAGCAACGCUAACCCUCAUGUCUCUUCCUUCCUAAGGGACCUUCAGGGCCUCAAGGACCAACAGGAUUUCCUGGACCCAAAGGCCCCCCGGGUCCACCAGGAAAAGACGGAUUGCCAGGCCAUCCUGGGCAGAGAGGUGAAACGGGCUUCCAAGGGAAGACAGGUCCACCUGGACCCCCAGGUGUUGUUGGUCCACAGGUGAGCCAUUCCCCAGAUUCUCUGGCCCAAAUUCCUUCCCCCCCCCCCCCCCUUUCCCCUGUUGUCUCUCCAAUUACUUUCUAAUUUCCAGAAACUCUGCCAGGUUAAUGACAGUUUAAAUUCUGUAUCGCAGGGUAAAUAACAUGUUUAUGUCUGCUUUCUGUGUUAUAAAAGUCUACC
rnacentral:lncRNA from 1 species